rnacentral:tRNA from 1 species
GAGGGCAUAGCUCAGUGUUGGAGUGUGCACUUAAAAUGCGCAGGGUACGGGGUUCAAUCCCCAGUACCUCCA